GAGGGGAGUGAAAUAGAACCUGAAACCCUGCACUUACAAGCUGUGGAAGCACAUUUCUUGUGUGACCGCGUACUUUUUGUAGAACGGGCCAACGAGUUACGUUAAGUAGCAAGGUUAAGCACUUAAGGUGUGGAGCCGUAGCGAAAGCGAGUUUUAACUGAGCGUUCAGUUACUUGACGUAGACCCGAAACCGGGCGACCUACCCAUGAGCAGGAUGAAGCGAAAGUAAAAUUUCGGGGAGGUCCGAACCCACGAGCGUUGAAAAGCUCGGGGAUGACUUGUGGGUAGCGGUGAAAUUCCAAUCGAGCCCGGAGAUAGCUGGUUCUCCCCGAAAUAGCUUUAGGGCUAGCCUCAAGGUGAG
rnacentral:rRNA from 1 species